rnacentral:lncRNA from 1 species
UACAUUGUGGAGAAGUGGUAUUCAUCUGACAUGUCAGACUGUUGUCCUGCAAGAAACUCGAGUUCCUUUCUUAUGUUGGCUACUUAAAUAGGAAGAAGGAAGAGAGAGAUGAGAAAGAGUAG